rnacentral:rRNA from 1 species
UACGUAGGGUGCGAGCGUUGUCCGGAAUUAUUGGGCGUAAAGAGCGUGUAGGCGGCCAGGUAGGUCCGUUGUGAAAACUCGAGGCUCAACCUCGAGACGCCGAUGGAAACCAUCUGGCUAGAGUCCGGAAGAGGAGAGUGGAAUUCCCGGUGUAGCGGUGAAAUGCGCAGAUAUCGGGAAGAACACCCGUGGCUAAGGCGGCUCUCUAGUACGGUACUGACGCUGAGACGCGAAAGCGUGGGGAGCGAACAGG